AGAUCGAAGGACCUCCUCUCCUGUCUGAGAUUUGUACCCAAGUGAGCAAAGAAAAGCAUCGAACGUUUUGCAGUGCAUCUAACUAUCCUGAACUCACAAUAGGUGCUGAUUUGUGGGUCUGCUCUGACAUUAGAAGUUGGCUUUAUCCGAAGACUUUGUGUUCAAUUGCUUGGUGCCUUUUGAUUCGUCUGUCAUUGAGAAGUUUGCACUCAGAGCAAGAAAGCCAACAUCAAGUUGUGGUACAUGAUGUCGAGGAAGGAGUGGA